UGAGAGCACCACCCAGUAACCGCACUCCUCCUCCGGAGAAGCCCCUGAGAGGACACCUCCUCACCAUGGACUGGACCUGGAGGAUCCUAUUUUUGGUGGUCAUGGCUACAGGUGCCCACUCCCAGGUGCAGCUGGUGCAGUCGGGGGCUGAGGUGAAGCAGCCUGGGGCCUCAGUGAAGGUCUCCUGCAAGGCUUCUGGAUACACCUUCACUAGCUACUGUAUGAACUGGGUGCGACAGGCCCAUGCACAAGGGCUUGAAUGGAUGGGAUACAUGUGCCCUGGUGAUGGCAGCACAGGCUACGCACAGAAGUUCCAGGGCAGAGUCACCAUGACCAGGGACACAUCCACAAGCACAGCCUACAUGGAGCUGAGCAGCCUGAGACCUGAGGACACGGCCGUGUAUUACUGUGCGAGAGACACAGUGUGAAAACCACAUCCUGAGAGUGUCAGAAACCCUAGAGAGGAGGCAGCUGUGCUGGGGCUGAGGAGAUGACAGGGAUUAUGAGGUUUAAAGUUGUUUAGAAGAUGGGUUGUAA